CCUACGGGUGGCAGCAGUGAGGAAUAUUGGUCAAUGGCCGUGAGGCUGCACCAGCCAAGUCGCGUGAGGGAAGACGGCCCUACGGGUUGUAAACCUCUUUUGUCGGGGAGCAAAGCGAACCACGUGUGGUUCAUUGAGAGUACCCGUAGAAAAAGCCUCGGCUAACUCCGUGCCAGCAGCCGCGGUAAUACGGAGGAUGCGAGCGUUAUCCGGAUUUGUUGGGUUUAAAGGGUGCGCAGGCGGAGGUGCAAGUCAGCGGUAAACUUGCGGGGCUCAACCCCGUACUGCCGUUGAAACUGCAUCCCUUGAGUGCGCGAGAAGUAAGCGGAAUGCGUGGUGUAGCGGUGAAAUGCAUAGAUAUCACGCAGAACUCCGAUUGCGAAGGCAGCAUACCGGCGCGCAACUGACGUUCAUGCACGAAAGCGGGGGUAUCGAACAGGAUUAGAUACCCUUGUAGUC
rnacentral:rRNA from 1 species